AGAGGAGGAUGAUCAGCCACACUGGAACUGAGAUACGGUCCAGACUCCUACGGGAGGCAGCAGUGGGGAAUAUUGGACAAUGGGCGCAAGCCUGAUCCAGCUAUGCCGCAUGAGUGAGGAAGGCCUUAGGGUUGUAAAACUCUUUCAGUAGGGAAGAUAAUGACGGUACCUACAGAAGAAGUCCCGGCAAACUCCGUGCCAGCAGCCGCGGUAAUACGGAGGGGGCAAGCGUUGUUCGGAAUUAUUGGGCGUAAAGGGCAUGUAGGCGGUUCGGUAAGUUAAAGGUGAAAUGCCAGGGCUUAACCCUGGAGCUGCUUUUA
rnacentral:rRNA from 1 species